rnacentral:lncRNA from 1 species
AACAAUUUGCUAACCCUACCUCAGUUAAAAGUGAGUUCGGUUCACACUCUCAGGUCGGAGUUACCCGUCGUUAUCUCAGAAAAACACCACGAUUACCCCUUGUCACAUCACCCUAUCAAUCGGAGACACUUGCCACAGGUGAUGUCAUCGUCGCCCGGAAUAGCCAAUUUCAAGUCCUCGAAUUCCAGCCCCCUACAGGUCAUCAUUACUUUGGCACAUGACCACCGGCCUUGUUGACGAAUCAUUGGAGAAUUCGACGACCCGAGUUGCAAGCUCGACACUGUUGCUGAUUUGAUUGAUUUGAUGUAAUUUCGGCUGAAAUAUAUAUAAAUAGUAGAAUAGGACCCUUGUAAAAGGACAACAAAUUAAGAUGACGACUAUGGCCUGAUCACAUCUUUGCAAUCUUUUCUAAACACAAAUCGCCUUUUUUCUUAAAGUUGGUUCAAAUUCAUCCUUGCUAAUUUUUACAUCAACAGAGCUGUUUGGGACAAAUCCCCAUUUUAGCGAAAGCCUCCUAUGAGAAUAUAUUUGAUGCACUCCCAUUAUCAAUCAGAAUCCUCUUUACUUCAAAGUUAGCAACAAUUGCAGAGACGACCAGAGCAUUGUCAUGAGGAUAUGAUACUUCUUCCAAAUCUCUUACCCCAAAAGUAAUGUCUGAGAGUUUAUCAUGGGAUUCCCUUGAGGUAUGAGCAUGUUGGCGGGCAUAUUGCUUUCGCCCACUAUUUGUGUUUCCUCCAGAUACCAUGUCUCCAAUGAUAAUAUUAAUGGUCCCAGCAGUGGGUUGAGCACUGCUUCCGGCUCCAUGCUCUUUCCAAUUGUCACAGUCAUUUCUUGGGCGUUUAUCAUGACCAAUGUAAUUUCUUAAGAGCCUUCUUUUGAUGAGAGCUUCAAUUUCCCGCUGCAAGGCUUGGCAAUCCUUCGUGGUAUGCCCAUGAUCUCGAUGAAAUUCACAAUACUUGCUCCUAUCUCUUGGGUCAGGGGGCAACUUCAUUCUUGAAGGCCACUUCAACUCUUUCAUAUCUUUGAUCUCCAUUAAGAUAUUUGCCUUGGAGGUGUUCAACCAGGUGAGAGGCCCUGGUGGCCCUUCAUUCUUCCGCGUGUCCCGAGGAUGCUCUGGCCGGGAAACAGGAUCAUGUUGCUUCUUGUUCUCGACCUUUUCAUGGGAAGGACCAGAUCUCCUUGGAUUCAGCAUUUCCUCCGUAUUAAUGUAUUUUUCAGCUCGGGUGAGGAGUUUGGUCACUGUCUGUAGCGGGGUCUUUGAUAAGGACAUCUUGAAGGCUUCAUACUUUAUGGCAUAUGUAAGGGCGGAGACAGCCGCCGUAAUGUGAAGGUAAGAUAUUUGAAGUCUUUCCUUGUUAAACUUCGUCAUAAAUCCUUGUAGGGUUUCAUUUGUUCCCUGGCAAAGUUGCAUGAGAGAGGCCGCAGUCUUUCUGAUACGUUUGCUACUUGAAAAGAAGGCUGAGAACUUAUCAGCCAAAUCUAAGAAUGAGGCUAUGGAGUUGGGCUCCAAUGUCGAUAACCAGUCCCUAGCAGCAUUAGUCAACAUUUGUAGGAAGGCUUUGCACAAAACUUGAUCCGACGCAACUUGCAAAUUCAUGACAUCGGUAUAUACAUUGAGAUGGUUGAUUGGGUCGGUCGUCCCAUCAUACUCUUUAAUGCGAGGAUAUUUGAAUCUGUUGGGCAGGGGAUAAGACAAUUUCUCUGGUGUAAAUGUAGUGUUAGGGGUAAAACUCGUUGGCCCCCGAGCAUUUCAUUGCAGGCCAGCUGUAAUUCCUUCUUGAAUGAUACGAGCAAUCUCUCUGGAAUCCAUAGCAACUGAUCUCGAGCCCAAGGCCAUGUUACGAGUACCCGAGGUCCCUACUCCACCAAUUGCGGGGUUUGGUGCUCGAACUUGUGCAUCAAUCAUAAAACCACCAUGCUCUGCCUGCACCGGAUGUGAAUUUCUUUGACUUAACGGCUGCAUUAGCGUGACCACCUGCUGACGGAGCUCUUCGAAGGCUUCAAUUGUGACGACUGUCGACUGGGGUGCAGGCACUCUUGAUGACUCUUCUUGAGGAGUCGGUUGAUCUUCAGUAGGAUGAGGGAUGAGAGCGGAUGAGCUUGCGGGAGGAGGACCUGAUCGCGUGUUAACCAUAGGUUUUAGUAGCGGUUCCCACAGACGGGGCCAAUGAUGCUACCAAAAAUUGUACCUGUUGAUUUCCCGAGCUUGAGGACUUCGAAUGAGCACGAUCGUAGUCUUCCAGUUCCUAAAACAAAGGCAACAAGGUAUCUUCUCGUCGUCCCUUCGAUGCUUAAGUUAGAAAGGGAAUUAUAUGCGUCAGAU